AGAGUUUGAUCCUGGCUCAGGACAAACGCUGGCGGCAUGCCUAACACAUGCAAGUCGAACGGACAGAACAGGGAAGCUCUUCGGAGUGGAACUGGAAAGUUAGUGGCGGAUGGGUGAGUAACGCGUGGACAACCUACCUUGUAAAGGGGAAUAACCUCGAGAAAUCGAAGCUAAUACCCCAUAAUAACCUUGCUUCGCAUGAAGUAAGGAGGAAAGGCGGCCUUAGAGCUGUCGAUACAAGAUGGGUCCGCGUCUGAUUAGCUAGUUGGUGAGGUAAAGGCUCACCAAGGCGACGAUCAGUAGCCGGCCUGAGAGGGUGAACGGCCACAUUGGGACUGAGACACGGCCCAAACUCCUACGGGAGGCAGCAGUGGGGAAUCUUCCGCAAUGGGCGAAAGCCUGACGGAGCAAUGCCGCGUGAGUGAAGAAGGCCUUCGGGUUGUAAAACUCUGUCCUUAUCGAAGAGAGAGUGUUGUAGUAACUGACAACACUAGGACGGUAGAUGAGGAGGAAGCCCCGGCUAACUACGUGCCAGCAGCCGCGGUAAAACAUAGGGGGCAAGCGUUGUCCGGAAUCACUGGGCGUAAAGGGCGCGCAGGCGGUAAAUUAAGUCAGGUGUGAAAGUUCGGGGCUCAACCCCGUGAUUGCACCUGAUACUGAUAAACUAGAGUGUUGGAGAGGUAAGUGGAAUUCCUAGUGUAGCGGUGGAAUGCGUAGAUAUUAGGAGGAACACCAGUGGCGAAGGCGACUUACUGGCCAAUAACUGACGCUGAGGCGCGAAAGCGUGGGGAGCAAACAGGAUUAGAUACCCUGGUAGUCCACGC
rnacentral:rRNA from 1 species